rnacentral:rRNA from 1 species
GACGAACGCUGGCGGCGUGCUUAACACAUGCAAGUCGAACGGAAAGGCCCUGCUUUUGUGGGGUGCUCGAGUGGCGAACGGGUGAGUAACACGUGAGUAACCUGCCCUUGACUGUGGGGUAACUUCAGGAAACUGGGGCUAAUACCGGAUAGGACCUCCUGCUGCAUGGUGGGGGUUGGAAAGUUUCGGCGGUUGGGGAUGGACUCGCGGCUUAUCAGCUUGUUGGUGGGGUAGUGGCUUACCAAGGCUUUGACGGGUAGCCGGCCUGAGAGGGUGACCGGCCACAUUGGGACUGAGAUACGGCCCAGACUCCUACUGGAGGCAGCAGUGGGGAAUAUUGCACAAUGGGCGGAAGCCUGAUGCAGCAACGCCGCGUGCGGGAUGACGGCUUUCGGGUUGUAAACCGCUUUCGCCUGUGACGAAGCGUGAGUGACGGUAAUGGGUAAAGAAGCACCGGCUAACUACGUG